rnacentral:ncRNA from 1 species
UUCUUCGGGGCAGGGUGAAAUUCCCUACCGGCGGUAAAGUCCGCGACCCACAUAUGUGGUUGAUCUGGUGAAAUUCCAGGACCGACAGUAAAGUCUGGAUGAGAGAAGAA